UCUCUUAAAUAUAUCAGAGGCCUGAACACCAGGGAGGGGGAGGAUUUAUUUAAGUUAAAGGCCAGUGUUCGCACAAGAACAAAUGCAUAUAAACUGGCCACCAACAAUCUUAGGCUUGAAAUUAAACUAAAGGUUCUAACCAUUACAGGAGUGAAGUUCUGGAACAGCCUCCCAAGGGGAGAAUUGAGGAAAACAAAACUU